UACGUAGGUGGCGAGCGUUGUCCGGAAUAACUGGGCGUAAAGGGAGCGUAGGUGGUUGCUUAAGUUAAAUGUGAAAGCCCAGGGCUCAACUCUGGAAUAGCAUUUAAUACUGGGUAGCUAGAGUACUGGAGGGGUAAACGGAAUUUCUAGUGUAGCGGUGGAAUGCGUAGAUAUUAGGAAGAACACCGGAGGCGAAGGCGGUUUACUGGACAGCAACUGACACUGAGGCUCGAAAGCGUGGGGAG
rnacentral:rRNA from 1 species